AGCUUGCUCUCGGGUGACGAGCGGCGGACGGGUGAGUAAUGUCUGGGAAACUGCCUGAUGGAGGGGGAUAACUACUGGAAACGGUAGCUAAUACCGCAUAAUGUCGCAAGACCAAAGUGGGGGACCUUCGGGCCUCAUGCCAUCAGAUGUGCCCAGAUGGGAUUAGCUAGUAGGUGGGGUAACGGCUCACCUAGGCGACGAUCCCUAGCUGGUCUGAGAGGAUGACCAGCCACACUGGAACUGAGACACGGUCCAGACUCCUACGGGAGGCAGCAGUGGGGAAUAUUGCACAAUGGGCGCAAGCCUGAUGCAGCCAUGCCGCGUGUGUGAAGAAGGCCUUCGGGUUGUAAAGCACUUUCAGCGGGGAGGAAGGCGAUAAGGUUAAUAACCUUGUCGAUUGACGUUACCCGCAGAAGAAGCACCGGCUAACUCCGUGCCAGCAGCCGCGGUAAUACGGAGGGUGCAAGCGUUAAUCGGAAUUACUGGGCGUAAAGCGCACGCAGGCGGUCUGUCAAGUCGGAUGUGAAAUCCCCGGGCUCAACCUGGGAACUGCAUUCGAAACUGGCAGGCUAGAGUCUUGUAGAGGGGGGUAGAAUUCCAGGUGUAGCGGUGAAAUGCGUAGAGAUCUGGAGGAAUACCGGUGGCGAAGGCGGCCCCCUGGACAAAGACUGACGCUCAGGUGCGAAAGCGUGGGGAAGCAACAGGAUUAGAUACCCUGGUAGUCCACGCCGUAACGAUGUCGAUUUGG
rnacentral:rRNA from 1 species